AUGGCGCUGCGGCGCAAGGGGAGGUCGGCGGGGCGGCGGGCGGCGGUGAGGUGGUGGCUGCUCUCCCUCCUCGGGGCCGGCGCCGCCGUCACCGCCGCGGCCGCGCUGCUCACCGUCGCGCUCCACGUCUCCGCGUCCGCCACGUCCGGCUCGCCCUACCGCCUGGCCAAGCAGCCGCGGGAGGCCGAGGAGCUGCGCUGGGAGCAGGAGUUCGCGCCGCCGCAGCUCGCCUCGCCGCACGCGCGGAAGCUGGACGGCGCGGCCGAGGACGCGCCGGAGAAGAGGCUGUGGCUGCCGGCCCCGUCGCGCCGGUUCGUGCCCUGCGUCUCGCCGUCGCUCGAGUACAGACGUCCGGAGGCAUCGAGGGGGUACCUGCUCGUACACACCAAUGGCGGGCUCAACCAGAUGCGCGCCGGGAUCAGUGAUAUGGUAGCAGUUGCACGAAUACUCAAGGCUACACUUAUAAUCCCAGAACUUGAUAAGAAAUCGUUUUGGCUCGACAAAAGCAACUUUUCGGAUGUCUUCGACGAAGAACACUUUAUACGUUAUUUGGCAAACGAUGUGAUAAUUGAGAAAAAGUUGCCAAAGGAAUUGGUGAAAGCACCAAAAUCUGUUAGGUACUUCAAGAGUUGGUCUGGAGUAGAUUAUUAUCAGGAUGAGAUUUCUCCACUAUGGGAGCACCGUCAGGUUAUUCGAGCUGCUAAAUCGGAUUCUCGCCUUGCAAACAACUUCCUCCCUCCUGAUAUUCAAAAACUUCGCUGCCGGACCUUUUUCCAGGCACUUAGAUUUGCUCCCCCAAUCGAAGCUUUAGGCAAUCUUUUGGUGGAGAGGAUGAAAGCAUUUGGACCAUAUAUUGCUUUGCAUUUACGCUAUGAGAAGGAUAUGCUUGCUUUUAGUGGGUGUACGUAUGGUCUGUCAGAGACCGAAUCAGAGGAGCUUGCAAUGAUCAGAGGAAACACAACCUACUGGAAGGUGAAAGACAUUGAUCCAUUAGAACAAAGAUCACAUGGUCAUUGUCCCCUGACGCCAAAGGAGGUUGGAAUGUUUCUUUCUGCCCUAGGAUAUCCAUCAAGCACCCCAGUUUACAUAGCUGCAGGGGAGAUAUAUGGAGGUGAAUCUCAUAUGGUCGAUUUGCAAUCCCGAUUCCCAAUUCUGAUGAACAAGGAGAAACUGGCCUCUGCUGAAGAACUGCGACCGUUCAGCCAAUAUGCUUCUCAAAUGGCAGCUUUGGAUUACAUCGUUUCAGUAGAAAGUGAUGUAUUUAUUCCAUCAUAUUCUGGGAACAUGGCACGGGCUGUUGCCGGUCAUCGGCGUUUCCAUGGCCACAGGAAAACAAUCAGUCCUGACAGGAAAGCAUUAGUUCAUUUGUUUGACAAAGUUGACAGUGGAUUACUCGAUGAAGGCAAAAAGCUAUCGCAAAAGAUAAUAGAAAUGCACCAGAAGAGACAAGGUUCUCCUCGGAAACGGAAAGGUCCCGUGUCCGGGACGAGGGGCAGCGAUAGGUUUCGGUCAGAGGAGGCAUUUUACGAGAACCCUCUUCCUGAUUGCCUUUGUCAAUCGAAUGACGAUUCUAUUGUCAGCAUAUAA
rnacentral:rRNA from 1 species